UAGGAGACGUGGGGAGGACGAGACAGAGAAUGAAGAGGAUGAAUUCAAAAGAUCUGGACAGGAAUUGGGACAGAUUAGUAUUCACUACAACCAUGCUUGCAGGUGGAGGGCGUAGGGAGAGUAUUCAUUCAGAACUCAUUCACUUUAAGGAGGAGAGCGCCACCUACUGGCAAAGAGCGAUUACUUAAAAAUGUUUUAAGUCGUCAGCAACUAUGGCAGGAGAUAUAUAUAUCUUUGUUUCUUUUCAACCGAUACUAUCAUACUCAAAAAGGGUUUUGAAGGUGUUGCUGUCAUCAUAUGGUUAUUAAGAAUGCACUAUUAACAAUGUGCAAUAGGGGCUGGGGAUGUGGCUCAAGCGGUAGCGCGCUCGCCUGGCAUGCAUGCGGCCCGGGUUCAAUCCUCAGCACCACAUACAAACAAAGAUGUUGUGUCUGCCGAAAACUAAAAAAAUACAUAAAAAAAAAUUCUCUCUCUCUCUCUCUCUCUCUCUCUCUCUCUCUCUCUCUCUCUCUCUCUCUCUCAUGUGGCUAGUGAUCCUCAUGUAUAAAAACAAUAAGGGUGGGGCACAAAGAGCAAAAGUUACCAGAGGGAUGAUAUGACCAAAAGGAAAAGAAUAGUAUGCUGUGGGCGUCUGUGACACAUAUUCUCAGAUAAGUGACAACCUCUGGAGGCAAGUGUACUCAGAACACAGGAUGAGGGCAGGUGCACUUCAAAAUCAAAAU
rnacentral:lncRNA from 1 species